rnacentral:rRNA from 1 species
AUUGAACGCUGGCGGCAGGCCUAACACAUGCAAGUCGAGCGGGGUUUUCGGACCUAGCGGCGGCGGGUGAGUAAUGCGUAGGAAGCUGCCCGAUAGAGGGGGAUACCAGUUGGAAACGACUGUUAAUACCGCAUAAUGUCUACGGACCAAAGUGUGGGACCUUCGGGCCACAUGCUAUCGGAUGCGCCUACGUGGGAUUA